CCCGGCUGCGGUGUUGCCGCAGCAGCCGUACCUGCAGCCGCCCUCUUGCUCUUCACCACCGUCACCCACUCCGCCUGCACCUGGCCAGCCCCACCGGCCGGCUCCAGGCUCGGACCCACGUCCAUAUCGGCGUGGUCUAGGUCAGUGUCUUCUACCAAGUCCAAGGACGCCCGUGCAGCCUCGGCUGCACGCGACGCGCUGGGCUGACAAACAGCCAUCAGGGAAAUAUCGGGGGAAAAGGAAAAGAAAGGAAAAAAAAACAGGUGCACUAAACGAAAGAUAGGUAAGGGGUGGGGAGCCCUGGACCAGGACCCCGGAGCGAGCCGGAGCCGGCCGGCAAAACAAAAAAAAAACCCAAACUAAAACGGGGGGGAACUGAAAGAACUGAAGAAGAGGUGGUCAGUCUCCCCCUCCCCGGCGCAGACGCGCCACUAGGGCGAGGGAAAACGGACAAAAGAAAAGACCGAGAACACUCUAACACAACUCUAAAGAAACUAAUCAGGAAAAGAAACCAAACCGUCAGAGCCGAGAGAAAAAAAGGAAACGACCGCACACCUCAAUCUCACAGCUAGCAAUGCUGUCAGCCACGCCCCCGGAAACGCACAAGCGUUUUCAGGGUGGUAUGGCCGUAAGCGAAUACACUUUCUGAAAUGAGCCCUUUUGUAGGUGACACAUCUAUAUACCGCUUGCAGACGUCACACACCCUGCUCUCAAUUGUUUUUAACCUGUCCGACUCUGCUGCCCCCCCCCCCCGUCCAAUUAGCACUGGCCCCUCCCAAUCCUUCGCCAAACUCCUCAGUCGGCUGUCUCCAUCGACUUCUCCGUUUUUACCAGCCUUCGGUGUCAUAGGGACUGCAGAGUGACAGAAGGAGUGACAUCAAGGCUAAUAAUACCUGUUCAUUCGAACAUGGCAGCCUGGACAAGGAGACAAUGUGGGAGCCAUUUGUCCCAUUAAGCACCCUGCUGGUCUCCACUGGACUGGUGGUGGCCGUGGUGGUUCUGCUUUCCAGGAGGACAGUUGAAUCCCCAGGCUCUGUGACAGGUCUGUGUUUUAAUGGACACAGUGUAUAUUUGGGUGUAUCUGUGCUUCUACUAUGAUGACUUAGCACUUUGAUGUGUGGCAGGGUGUUGAGGCAGGUCAUCUGUGCUGAUCAAUACUUAUCAUCGUACUUUAUAUAAAAUAUAAAAUUACAGAAGGAUAUGAACAUUGUGAUUUUAUGUGUAAAUGGUUUUAAAAUACAGGGGCUUGCAAAAGUAUUCAGCCCUUUUGAAAGUCAUAGUAAUUUUCUGCAUGUCAAAAUAUUUGUACACACAUUUGUGCAUUUUGUAUUUUUGUUGUGAACUCAUAUACUGUAACAGUACAUUUCCAGAGUAAAAAUGAACCUUUUUCUGUAGAUAUUUAACUGAAGGAAAAACUCAGAAUUUAGUGCGUGUAUAAGUAUUCAACCCCUACACAUUAAUUUUUUGUUGAGAACUCUUUUUACUGCAAUAGCAGCCUUAAUUCUUUUGGGGUAAGUAUGUAACAGUUUUACACAUUGUUCAGGAGUGAUUCUUCCCCAUUCUAUUCCCCACAGUUAUCAAAUAGUGCCACAGUGUUACGGUGGGGCUUGGUGCAAGUGGGGAAAGUAUAACAAUCCAUGGAAUGGACAAAAGGUUUCACUAAAGAAAGACAGGAUCCAAAGGGCCAAACCACAAAAUAAAGAGAUCAUGAGGGGUCAAACACAACACUGAUAAAACUGAACGCGAGGCGGAGAACCAAUACAUUGCAACACUGGGAAACAGCCACAGAGCACAUCUAAUGCACACUUCACGUCAUUUGCGAUUAGUCAUUUGUAUAAACCUGGAGCUUCCAAAGCACGGGGGUUGAAAACCUAUGCAAACAGCACAUAUCAUAUUUUUAUUUUUAUUUUUUUAAUGUUAGUAGUUUUCAACAUAAAUGUUGUUUGAGAAAAUUGAGUAUAUGUUGUAGUGCCGGCGGGAUUUGCAUAUCUCGGCAUUCCUCGUGGACCAUUGUAAAUAACCCCUUGUAUGCAUGUCUUAUUGUAAACGUUCAUGUUGUAUUUCCCUGUUGUCGUGCAUGUGUUUGCCUGUGUGAACCCUGUCCCACCCUCACAUGUCUUUAGUGUUGCAUAAAUUACCCACCAUGUGUGAGCUUCACCGUUCAGCAUCGGACCUCCCUGUGUUUCCCUAGCAUGUUUGGUUCCAGUGCUUUUGCAGUUCAUAUGUUAGUCCUGUUCAGAACUGUAAUAAAAGAGUCUCUUCCUCCUCUGCUA